UACGGAGGGAGCUAGCGUUGUUCGGAAUUACUGGGCGUAAAGCGCGCGUAGGCGGUCUAUCAAGUCAGGGGUGAAAUCCCGGGGCUCAACCCCGGAACUGCCCUUGAAACUGGCAGACUAGAAUCUUGGAGAGGCGAGUGGAAUUCCGAGUGUAGAGGUGAAAUUCGUAGAUAUUCGGAAGAACACCAGUGGCGAAGGCGACUCGCUGGACAAGUAUUGACGCUGAGGUGCGAAAGCGUGGGGAGCAAACAGG
rnacentral:rRNA from 1 species